rnacentral:lncRNA from 1 species
AAGCGCUGAAAAAUAAUAACUGUACAAAAGAAUAAACACCCAACAAGCAAGAAACCUACAAAAGCUAGGAGGGACUCGCUUAAGGGAAACCGGUUCCCCAGCAGAGUCUCCAGCUGUCGCAACCUGCGAAAAAACAACCGACGAAAAAAAAGAAAAGACAGAAGAGUCGCCACCGUGCGUUAUUUAUCCCAAAGGAGGGGGAAAGGAAACGCUCGAAGUAAACCUGGGAAAAGGAAAGGAAAAGACAAGGCCUCGCAAACAAAUCUUGGGUUCGGG